rnacentral:lncRNA from 1 species
AAAAACUUUUAAGUUCAUUAGACCACAUUCAUUCUGUGUCAGAAACCUAUGCUGUGUCAACUAUUUAAUUUUAGAUUUAAAAAGUUUGAAGAAGAAAUCUUUUAAAUUAAUUGAUUUGUAAAAUCUUGACAUUUGUUUUGUGUAAAAAAAAACAACAUGUAAUGUCAAAAAUUUGAUCACAAUCCAAAUUCAGAGCUGUAUCACGCUUGAAUGUUUUGUCCAUACUUGCCCCAACUGUCCAGGGUUCGACCUCUGCGGUCGUAUAAAGCUGCGCCCUGCGGAGCACCUGGUUGCACC